rnacentral:rRNA from 1 species
CGCACCUACCGAUUGAAUGAUUCGGUGAAGAUUCCGGACCGAGGCUGCCUCCUCAUUAGUUUGUGGUGGUGCCUUGGGAAGCUAUCUAAACCUCACCAUUUAGAGGAAGGUGAAGUCGUAACAAGGUUUCCGU